rnacentral:misc_RNA from 1 species
AACUUUCGACAACGGAUCUCUCGGCUCUCGCAUCGAUGAAGAGCGUAGCGAAUUGCGAAAAUUAGGGCGACUUGCAUAAAUCGCGAACCAUCGAGUUCUUGAACGCACACUGCACCCUCUGGGUAACCAAAGGGUCUGCCCGGUUGAGUAUCGAUUGACUAACCUCGCGCCUUCUGGUGCGGACAUGAGCGACUGGAGCAGAGUCUCUUGUUGCUUGAAUUGUAAAAGUGAAAGUGGCCACACUGUUGAGCCGCGUGUUGCAGUUCCACCGAUUGUGCAAGCAGUCUGGGAUCAGCGCGCUGCAGUUUAACAACGUCACACACAACAGCGAUGCGCUGGCGCCUCGGCGACCAGCAACCCAUGCGAUCUCAACUCGGGCAGGAUUACCCGCUGAACUUAAGCAUAUCAAUAAGCGGAGGCU